AUAUGGAGAUGUUGAGCCAACAAAUAAUGGUGUAAGGUUUUACAAAUGGUUUACAGAGGGGAAUGAGAGGGGAAACUGGCUUCAGAACCUGAAAUAUGGUGUUUUUGGGCUUGGAAACAGGCAGUAUGAGCAUUUUAAUAAGAUAGCUAAGGUGGUGGAUGACUUGAUUGCAGAACAGGGUGGCAAGUGGCUUGUCCCGGUGGGUCUUGGAGAUGAUGAUCAAUGCAUUGAGGAUGACUUUACUGCAUGGAUUGUCCCAGCUAUUUGGCGUUGGCUAUUGAAUGCGUCUGUUUCUUUGUGCUUGUCGUGGGCCACCUACAAAUAUUCAACAUUGAGACGAAGGCAAAAAUGAAAUCACAUCAGAUGCCUGAGCAGGUGAUAAUGUCAUCCACUUUAAACUUUAUUAGCUCACUUUUCUAUUUGUUUCAUAGGUUGUUUCGUUUCUCAAUUAGUUUCCAUGACAUAUUGUUAUAUUCACAGGUUGUGUUUUGGAAGUGGAUUACGCCAAAGAUGUUGGGGCUGGUCACACAAACAUCAAUGUAUCAUUGGUCAAUAGAAG